rnacentral:lncRNA from 1 species
AGCAGCAAAAAACACAUUAAGUGACAGCAUUAAAUUCGUCCAAAGUACACAAUAACCUGCACAUUAAAUUCGUCUGGAAAAUUAAUUGAAAACAUGAAUUAAAUUUGUCUUAAAUUUAGACACACUUAAUUAACUAUUAGACAUCUAUUUAAUAGGUAAUAAACUAAGACACAUUAAAAUAAGGAUGUCCUGAUUUUUAAACAAAUUAAUUAACUUAUUUUAAUUAACUAAUCAGCAACUUAUUUGUUUUAUUCCAGCAAAAUAAUGUAAACUUAAGAAAGUUA